AACAAACGCUGGCGGCGUGCCUAACACAUGCAAGUCGUACGAGAAAGUCCGCUUCGGUGGAUGAGUAAAGUGGCGCACGGGUGAGUAACACGUGGAUAAUCUACCCUUCAGUUUGGAAUAACGUACCGAAAGGUGCGCUAAUACCGGAUAAUAUCUCGAAUGCGCAGGCAUACGAGAUCAAAGAUGGCCUCUGCUUGCAAGCUAUCGCCGAAGGAUGAGUCCGCGUACCAUUAGCUAGUUGGCAGGGUAAUGGCCUACCAAGGCAACGAUGGUUAGCUGGUCUGAGAGGAUGAUCAGCCACACUGGAACUGAGACACGGUCCAGACCUCCUACGGGGAGCAGCAAGUGAGGAAUAUUGCGCAAUGGGGCAACCCUGACGCAGCAACGCCGCGUGAGUGAGGAAGGUUUUCGGACGUAAGCUCUGUCGAGCGGAAGAAUGUUUAUUGGUUAAUAUCCAGUAAGCUUGACGGUACCGCUAAAGGAA
rnacentral:rRNA from 1 species